AAUAUAGUGUAGCGGUUAUCACAUCUGCUUUACACGCAGAAGGUCCUGGGUUCAAGCCCCAGUGGAACCA
rnacentral:tRNA from 1 species